AUUGAACGCUGGCGGCAUGCCUUACACAUGCAAGUCGAACGGCAGCACGGGUGCUUGCACCUGGUGGCGAGUGGCGAACGGGUGAGUAAUACAUCGGAACGUACCUUAUCGUGGGGGAUAACGCAGCGAAAGCUGUGCUAAUACCGCAUACGCCCUGAGGGGGAAAGCGGGGGAUCGCAAGACCUCGCGCGAUUAGAGCAGCCGAUGCCUGAUUAGCUUGUUGGUGGGGUAAAAGCCCACCAAGGCGACGAUCAGUAGCUGGUCUGAGAGGACGAUCAGCCACACUGGGACUGAGACACGGCCCAGACUCCUACGGGAGGCAGCAGUGGGGAAUUUUGGACAAUGGGGGCAACCCUGAUCCAGCAAUGCCGCGUGAGUGAAGAAGGCCUUCGGGUUGUAAAGCUCUUUUGUCAGGGAAGAAACACCGGCUCUAACACAGUCCGGGAAUGACGGUACCUGAAGAAUAAGCACCGGCUAACUACGUGCCAGCCGCCGCAGUAAGAC
rnacentral:rRNA from 1 species